UACGAAGGGAGCUAGCGUUGUUCGGAAUUACUGGGCGUAAAGCGCGCGUAGGUGGCCUGCCAAGUCAGGGGUGAAAUCCCAGAGCUUAACUCUGGAAUUGCCUUUGAAACUGGUAGGCUUGAGUAUCGGAGGGGAUGGUGGAAUUUCUAAUGUAGCGGUGAAAUGCGUAGAUAUUAGAAGGAACACCGGUGGCGAAGGCGACCAUCUGGACGAUUACUGACACUGAGGCGCGAAAGCGUGGGGAUCAAACAGG
rnacentral:rRNA from 1 species